GGACCUGCUUAAAGAGGCAGUCUGGCUGCUUGUUGGUGGAGCAGGUGUGCUGUGUUGGGGUGGAUCAUUUCUCACCCAGACUGUUUGGACUCUCCAGAGCCGGCUGAGUGGAACAGCUGGUCGACCAAUCUGCAGAGAUGGUGGCCACCCUCCCCCGGAAGCCCUGUCCCAGGGAGAGAUCGGAGCUCUGUCCUUAUAACCCUGACUGGAGUGGCUAAAGCUUCCACAGGGAUAAGUGUAUUUUUUGCAUCUAAAUAAGUAUGUCCUUUUCAUAUAUAAUCUAUUUAUUAUUCAUUUACUGUCUAAGUAUUUGAGUGACUAUGUUUUCCCUUCUGGGGAUAUAUUAGUUUACAAUAUUAAGAUCUUUUCUCUUGUGCAGGUUAAAUUUUAGCAGGGGUAGCGUGCAUAGGGAGACAGACAAUAAGUGAUAGACAUAUGUAAAUUGAGUUACAUGUCAAGAAGC
rnacentral:lncRNA from 1 species